GAUGAAGAACGUAGCGAAAUGCGAUAAGUAAUGUGAAUUGCAGAAUUCAGUGAAUCAUCGAAUCUUUGAACGCACAUUGCGCCCGCCAGUAUUCUGGCGGGCAUGCCUGUUCGAGCGUCAUUUCAACCAUCAAGCCCCCGGCUUGUGUUGGGGACCUGCGGCUGCCGCAGGCCCUGAAAAGCAGUGGCGGGCUCGCUGUCACACCGAGCGUAGUAGCAUACAUCUCGCUCUGGGCGUGCUGCGGGUUCCGGCCGUUAAACCACCUUCAUAACCCAAGGUUGACCUCGGAUCAGGUAGGAAGGCCCGCUGAACUUAAGCAUAUCAAUAAGCGGAGGA
rnacentral:misc_RNA from 1 species